CAUCAGGAAUUCCAUUCACCAAUCUGUUGACACUCUGACUUGUAGGAUGAACAUAUGCACAUGUUACAGAGAGGUCACCCGCUGGCAUGGGAAGGGACAGAGUCUCAGUCUCCAUGUUAAUCAGAACUAAAGAGAAAAUUGAGCUCAUCUAGCAUUCUUCGCAAUGUAUGUUUCUCCAAUACCUGCUGGUCUUCUGGAUUGGCUGGUGUUUCAUCUUGUUUUCUCCAAUGUGCUUUGAACAUGCAGAAGCAGAACUUUUAUUGAUCCUUACCCCACAACAUGUGAAACCCUCGCUCCUUCCUUGUCGCCGCCCCGCCCUGUCGACCUUGUUGUUGAGCUGGCCGAUGGCACCGACGGCCGACGCCAAAGAAGGACCGCACUCAUUAUGGCCGCCGCGGCGAACAUCGCGGGGAGCAUGUGCGUGGGUGACAUCACGGUGU
rnacentral:lncRNA from 1 species